GUGGGGAAUAUUGGACAAUGGGCGAAAGCCUGAUCCAGCCAUGCCGCGUGAGUGAUGAAGGCCUUAGGGUUGUAAAGCUCUUUCAGUAGGGAAGAUAAUGACGGUACCUACAGAAGAAGCCCCGGCUAACUUCGUGCCAGCAGCCGCGGUAAUACGAAGGGGGCUAGCGUUGUUCGGAUUUACUGGGCGUAAAGAGCACGUAGGCGGAUUGGUCAGUCAGAGGUGAAAUCCUGGAGCUCAACUCCAGAACUGCCUUUAAUACUGCCAGUCUAGAGUGCAGAAUAGGUGAGUGGAACUCCUAGUGUAGAGGUGGAAUUCGUAGAUAUUAGGAAGAACACCAGUGGCGAAGGCGGCUCACUGGUCUGGUACUGACGCUGAGGUGCGAAAGCGUGGGGAGCAAACAGGAUUAGAUACCCUAGUAGUCC
rnacentral:rRNA from 1 species